AUUGAACGCUGGCGGCAUGCUUUACACAUGCAAGUCGAGCGGCAGCGCGGGGGCAACCCUGGCGGCGAGCGGCGGACGGGUGAGUAAUGCAUCGGAACGUAUCCCGUAGUGGGGGACAACCCAGCGAAAGCUGGGCUAAUACCGCAUAUGCUCUACGGAGGAAAGUGGGGGACCUGAGAGGGCCUCACGCUAUGGGAGCGGCCGAUGUCCGAUUAGCUAGUGGUGAGGUAAAGGCUUACCAAGGCGACGAUCGGUAGCUGGUCUGAGAGGAUGAUCAGCCACACUGGGACUGAGACACGGCCCAGACUCCUACGGGAGGCAGCAGUGGGGAAUUUUGGACAAUGGGGGCAACCCUGAUCCAGCCAUGCCGCGUGCGGGAUGAAGCUCUUCGGAGUGUAAACCACUGUUGCCCGGGACGAAUAGCUCGAUUAAUCGAGCCUGACGGUACCGGGUGAGGAAGCACGGCUAACUCCGUGCCAGCCGCCGC
rnacentral:rRNA from 1 species